rnacentral:ribozyme from 1 species
UGCCCAGCAGUUCCUAUCCCUACCUCCUCGUGGUACCGACCGAAAACUACGAGCAACCUUAUGGAAGAUCGUGUAACCAACCCUGAAAGGGAAGG